GCCUGGGUGGCUCAGUUGGUUUGAGCAUCUGACUUCAUGUCAGGUCAUGAUCUCACUGCUUGUGAGUUCAAGCCCCGCAUCAGGCU
rnacentral:tRNA from 1 species